GAUGAACGCUAUCUACAGGCUUAACACAUGCAAGUCGAGGGGCAUCAGGAAGAAAGCUUGCUUUCUUUGCUGGCGACCGGCGCACGGGUGAGUAACACGUAUCCAACCUGCCCUUUACUCGGGGAUAGCCUUUCGAAAGAAAGAUUAAUACCCGAUGGCAUAAUGAUUCCGCAUGGUUUCAUUAUUAAAGGAUUCCGGUAAAGGAUGGGGAUGCGUUCCAUUAGGUUGUUGGUGAGGUAACGGCUCACCAAGCCUUCGAUGGAUAGGGGUUCUGAGAGGAAGGUCCCCCACAUUGGAACUGAGACACGGUCCAAACUCCUACGGGAGGCAGCAGUGAGGAAUAUUGGUCAAUGGGCGCUAGCCUGAACCAGCCAAGUAGCGUGAAGGAUGAAGGCUCUAUGGGUCGUAAACUUCUUUUAUAUAAGAAUAAAGUGCAGUAUGUAUACUGUUUUGUAUGUAUUAUAUGAAUAAGGAUCGGCUAACUCCGUGCCAGCAGCCGCGGUAAUACGGAGGAUCCGAGCGUUAUCCGGAUUUAUUGGGUUUAAAGGGAGCGUAGGUGGACUGGUAAGUCAGUUGUGAAAGUUUGCGGCUCAACCGUAAAAUUGCAGUUGAUACUGUCAGUCUUGAGUACAGUAGAGGUGGGCGGAAUUCGUGGUGUAGCGGUGAAAUGCUUAGAUAUCACGAAGAACUCCGAUUGCGAAGGCAGCUCACUGGACUGCAACUGACACUGAUGCUCGAAAGUGUGGGUAUCAAACAGGAUUAGAUACCCUGGUAGUCCACACAGUAAACGAUGAAUACUCGCUGUUUGCGAUAUACAGUAAGCGGCCAAGCGAAAGCAUUAAGUAUUCCACCUGGGGAGUACGCCGGCAACGGUGAAACUCAAAGGAAUUGACGGGGGCCCGCACAAGCGGAGGAACAUGUGGUUUAAUUCGAUGAUACGCGAGGAACCUUACCCGGGCUUAAAUUGCAGUGGAAUGAUGUGGAAACAUGUCAGUGAGCAAUCACCGCUGUGAAGGUGCUGCAUGGUUGUCGUCAGCUCGUGCCGUGAGGUGUCGGCUUAAGUGCCAUAACGAGCGCAACCCUUAUCUUUAGUUACUAACAGGUCAUGCUGAGGACUCUAGAGAGACUGCCGUCGUAAGAUGUGAGGAAGGUGGGGAUGACGUCAAAUCAGCACGGCCCUUACGUCCGGGGCUACACACGUGUUACAAUGGGGGGUACAGAAGGCAGCUAGCGGGUGACCGUAUGCUAAUCCCAAAAUCCUCUCUCAGUUCGGAUCGAAGUCUGCAACCCGACUUCGUGAAGCUGGAUUCGCUAGUAAUCGCGCAUCAGCCACGGCGCGGUGAAUACGUUCCCGGGCCUUGUACACACCGCCCGUCAAGCCAUGGGAGCCGGGGGUACCUGAAGUACGUAACCGCAAGGAUCGUCCUAGGGUAAAACUGGUGACUGGGGCUAAGUCAU
rnacentral:rRNA from 1 species